CAAUGGGAAGUACAACGAGUCGCGAAGUCGCGAGGCUAAGCUAAUCUCUUAAAGCUUCUCUCAGUUCGGAUUGCAGGCUGCAACUCGCCUGCAUGAAGCCGGAAUCGCUAGUAAUCGCGGAUCAGCACGCCGCGGUGAAUACGUUCCCGGGCCUUGUACACACCGCCCGUCACACCACGAGAGUUUGUAACACCCGAAGUCGGUGAGGUAACCUUUUUGGAGCCAGCCGCCUAAGGUGGGAUAGAUGAUUGGGGUGAAGUCGUAACAAGGUAGCCGUAUCGGAAGGUGCGGCUGGAUCACCUCCUUUCUAAGGAA
rnacentral:rRNA from 1 species